rnacentral:rRNA from 1 species
UUGAACGCUGGCGGCAGGCCUAACACAUGCAAGUCGAGCGGAUGAAGGGAGCUUGCUCCUGGAUUCAGCGGCGGACGGGUGAGUAAUGCCUAGGAAUCUGCCUGGUAGUGGGGGAUAACGUCCGGAAACGGGCGCUAAUACCGCAUACGUCCUGAGGGAGAAAGUGGGGGAUCUUCGGACCUCACGCUAUCAGAUGAGCCUAGGUCGGAUUAACUAGUUGGUGGGGUAAAGGCCUACCAAGGCGACGAUCCGUAACUGGUCUGAGAGGAUGAUCAGUCACACUGGAACUGAGACACGGUCCAGACUCCUACGGGAGGCAGCAGUGGGGAAUAUUGGACAAUGGGCGAAAGCCUGAUCCAGCCAUGCCGCGUGUGUGAAGAAGGUCUUCGGAUUGUAAAGCACUUUAAGUUGGGAGGAAGGGCAGUAAGUUAAUACCUUGCUGUUUUGACGUUACCAACAGAAUAAGCACCGGCUAACUUCGUG